CGGUGGAUGCCUUGGCACUAGGAGCCGAAGAAGGACGGGACUAACACCGAUAUGCUUUGGGGAGCUGUACGUAAGCGUUGAUCCAGAGAUUUCCGAAUGGGGGAACCCACUAUCUUUAGUCGGAUAGUAUCCUUACGUGAAUACAUAGCGUGAGGAAGGCAGACCCAGGGAACUGAAACAUCUAAGUACCUGGAGGAAGAGAAAGAAAAAUCGAUUUCCUGAGUAGCGGCGAGCGAAACGGAAAGAGCCCAAACCAAGAAGCUUGCUUCUUGGGGUUGUAGGACACUCUAUACGGAGUUACAAAAGAAAGUUAUAAAUGAAGCGGUCUGGAAAGGCCCGCCAAAGACGGUAACAGCCCGGUAGUUGAAAUGGCUUUCCCUCCAGAGUGGAUCCUGAGUACGGCGGAACACGUGAAAUUCCGUCGGAAUCCGGGAGGACCAUCUCCCAAGGCUAAAUACUCCCUAGUGACCGAUAGUGAACCAGUACCGUGAGGGAAAGGUGAAAAGCACCCCGGAAGGGGAGUGAAACAGUUCCUGAAACCGUGUGCCUACAAGUAGUUAGAGCCCGUUAAUGGGUGAUAGCGUGCCUUUUGUAGAAUGAACCGGCGAGUUACGAUUUGUUGCAAGGUUAAGCGGAAAAAGCGGAGCCGUAGCGAAAGCGAGUCUGAAUAGGGCGCAUAAGUAACAGGUCGUAGACCCGAAACCAGGUGAUCUACCCAUGUCCAGGAUGAAGGUAAGGUAAUACUUACUGGAGGUCCGAACCCACGCACGUUGAAAAGUGCGGGGAUGAGGUGUGGGUAGCGGAGAAAUUCCAAUCGAACUUGGAGAUAGCUGGUUCUCUCCGAAAUAGCUUUAGGGCUAGCCUCGAGGUAAAGAGUCAUGGAGGUAGAGCACUGUUUGGACUAGGGGCCCUUCUCGGGUUACCGAAUUCAGAUAAACUCCGAAUGCCAUGUACUUAUACUCGGGAGUCAGACUGCGAGUGAUAAGAUCCGUAGUCGAAAGGGAAACAGCCCAGACCACCAGUUAAGGUCCCCAAAUAUAUGUUAAGUGGAAAAGGAUGUGGGGUUGCUUAGACAACCAGGAUGUUGGCUUAGAAGCAGCCACCAUUGAAAGAGUGCGUAAUAGCUCACUGGUCGAGUGACCCCGCGCCGAAAAUGUACCGGGGCUAAACAUAUUACCGAAACUGUGGAUGAACCUCUUUAGAGGUUCGUGGUAGGAGAGCGUUCUAAGGGCGGU
rnacentral:rRNA from 1 species